AACUACCUGGGCACAGGAAAAUGGUCUAAUCCAGUUGUGCAUCAAGUUAAUUGUAGCCAGUUGCAUUGCUUUUUGGUAGGUGCGAGGUGAUUCAGUGUGUUGCUGAAGUGAGAGAACGUGACAAAGCGAUGGAAAAACUUUAUCCUCUCCUCUUUCUGAGAGUUGAGUUUGACCGGUACAGGAGAUAUUUUGCACAGUUUGUGGGUUUUAUCUUAGAAAGGCAAACAGAACUGGAUCUUUUUUUGUUGACACUGCUAUUUAUAGAAAGCAGUCGUUACAGAGCUUUUCUUUCUGUCGUCUUGCAUGUUUGCAUUUGUAAUUUGAUUAAAAAAAUGAAAGCAAAAAUCUGCGUUAUUGACCGUUUUCCCUGCCCCCAGUGUGUAUGGCGAUGUGUUCAGUAACCUGGUGCUGAUCUACUCGUCCUUCGUUCUGUUUGGACUCAAGUCAGAGGACCUGGAUAUAAAGGUUUUUCUUGUGUGUGAUGUAGCAGACAUAGCCUGGUAUGUGUAUCAGAUCUGCCUACACACUCUGCUGAGCUCAGAGAGGAGUGUGUGGAGCUGGCUCGACCGAGACUGGUUCAGUGUGCUGCAGACAGAGGAGGAGAGCUGCUUGGUUUGUUUCCCGUGUAUUAACUCUAUGGUAGCCCAGCUCAUGCUGAGGAGAGCUCCUUCUCUGCAGUGGCUGCUGGAAGCUUCAUUCUCUGAGCUCAAGGACAGAUUCCCUGAGAUACCACACAAAGUCUGCAAGCUCUUCAGUGAUAUCACAGCUCUCCACAGACUCAGUGCUGCCCCCUCUCCAUCUGAGCCUGAAAACACAGCCCCACUGCAGUCUAAUGACAACCUUCACCCUCCUCAUCCUCCCCAUCCUCAGCUCCCUCACUGGGCUGUAAAUGGAGUCGAGCCUCAUUCAGACUCGCUCACUGACACACAGCUGUUCCUCACAUCCUCUUCCACUGAGUUGAGCAGCCCUGAGUCUGUCCAGCAGCAGAGCACUGUGGGUACAGGCUGGCGUGGGGCAGUGUGUGAAGCCUUUGUGAGUCAGUCAGAAUGUGUGUGUGACUCACACUCGCAGCCAUGGCCUGGAGGACACGCUCAGAAUGAGAGCUACACAGGCCUCUUUGAUGAAGGAGAGGAACAGUGGACAGUGGACGCUUCAUCUCUGUCAGCCCCAGAUCUCUCUUACUCACAUACACACACUGAGUGUCCUGCCCCAGCAGUCCUGUAUGGUCAGAAUUCACCUGUGGAAGAGAUGAAAAUACUGCCUCAGCAGCCAUGGAGAAACAAUGUGUGUGGAACAAGCAGCAGGGGGCAGCAGAGUGACACCUACAGCAUCUCACCUCCGUUCCAGCGGGGCACAGAGAGGAAGAGACCAGCAAGAGAUACUGCAGGAGAGACAGUGUUUCCACAGUGUAAGAGAGGGAGGCUUCUUUUUGAGAGAAUACCAGGACGGUGUGACGGACAAACGCGGCUCAGGUUUUCUGAACGCCUGCUUUAGUUUCAUCUCACACAUCCUGUCAUACAUUCUUCACACUGACAUGUUCGCUAUAACACCACCCUGAAGACCCUUUAUUUCACUUGUCAUAUACUGUUCCAUACACAGAGACACAAACCCACAGAGAACCCCCCCAAAUACGUACUCAGGAAGAUGUGUUUUCACUUACAAACCAACUGCAUAAUUUAUUUUUUCAUUGCAUUUAUUGAAUUAUAAUUAAAAAACAUAGCAUUCACACUUCACAUAUGGUGAAACCUGUUUUUUUUAGGAUGUUUGUUUAAGAACACCAAACAAUAUACCAGGAAAGUCAGCCUGUGGUCUAAAUUUACGGUUCACCAUAAAAGGCAAAGGCUUUCUCCUGUGACCUUUAACCCAAAGUGUGUGCUGUGAUGUUGGACUGAAUGUACACAGAAGCAGGUGUAAAACGUUUUCUCAUUAUAGAGCUAAAACAUUGUGUUGGAGACAGGGGUGGGCAUUUAAGUCACAGCAGCGAAGAUGUGUAAUGUGUAGUGUUUGGGCCAUAGAGGGCUGUUCGUAGAGAUGUGAUGUGGAAAUGAUUAAUUCAGUUACAGCUACAGAUGAUUAAGCUUUCACUUGGGUUUCAUUGCAUUUGUGACGCAAAUUUAGGGUGAUGAUUCUCCUGUAACUGUAAAAAUACCAGCUAAGCCAGGUUCACAAGAGUUCACUGAGUUGCACCCACUAGCUGGGUCUCCCCAAUUGCAUCAUGCUCCGAGGCUGGAAGGGUGAAGACUAGUUCAUGCUUCUUCUGAGACACGUGAAGAUCCACUGCACCUUUUCAAACUGCUGCUAACACAACAUCUCGGACAGCACAGCACACUUAGAGGAGAACGCUAACUGCUAAUUCUUUCAUGUCAGCUACCAGACGCCCACGUUGGCAAGCAUGCUCUCAGUAAUGUGGGCACAGUUAUACUGUCUUGGAUUAUAAUUGUAGUGUACGGCUGUGGCAUCGGCAGGGAUUGAACUCCCAACAGCAGGGCCAUGUAGACAUUGGUGCCACUCGGGAGCCCUUACUGAGUAUGUUCUUUUGUUGCUUUCAAUAAUCAAACUUAUUUUUUUAAUCAAACCAAACCUGAAUCAUAAAGCAGAACGGGGAAAUUACUGCAUGUGGUUGCCAUGCAGACCUAAAGCUUCUAUAUAAGCCACUCUGCCAUUAAAUUCCGCUUUAAUGACGUGUUAAUUGCGCUAGUUUGUGUCAUUAAAAACUGAUGGAGACCGUAAAUAUACAUCUCUGUGUGGAAGCUGAAGCAGACACCUCUCGCUUUUUCUGUCUUUCUUUCUGUUUCAUGGAGAUGGAUGGAGGAAAGGUAGCAGUUCAUUUGCACUGCAGGUUCCUUAUCAGUGUCGGGCAGAGACAGAGAGAGGGAAGAGAGGAGGAGGGAGAGAGGGAAAAAAGAGAGAGUGAGCGCUUAUCACAGAAAGCCAGCAGUCCUUCUUUAGGCCCUCACUGGAAUGAGCUGAGGGAAAAAAAACUCCUCCCGUGGGCAUUACACGCACACAUACUCCCUCUCUCUGGCUCUCUUCUUAAUCUCUCUCUCCCCCUCUCUGUCCUUCUAUCUCUCCCGGCUCAUAGCCAGCCUGCAUAAAUGACCCCCACCACUCAUCCAUUCAGGGUGCGUUUACUGUCCCUGCUAACGACCCUCCCUGAACAAAAGCCCCUAACGCGGCUCUGUAGGAUGGGGUAAGGGCAGAAAGGGCAGGCACAGGGGGCUAUUUUGUGGUGGUGCGGCUGCUUAGUGUGGUCUGGUAAAUAAACGCAGUCGUAAUGGUGUAAUAAUGGCCACGCCAUGCGCUCUCGCUCUUUUCUCUUUCUCUCUGUCUCCUUUACUUUCACAUGGAGGGAGGGAGAGUGUGAGAAACAUGCAUGCUGUUCAAAUCUGACCUUUUACGUUUUGCCUUUCUGCUCUGGUGCCAAAGCUAUUCAUUCUGCUCAAGACCCACCACAUACAAACAAACCCGCACAGUUAAGUCCUCAUCACUGGACACAGCUGGAGCAACUAACUGUUGUUCCCAUGAGUUAAAGCCAUGUUUCGGUUAGAAAUCAGGUUUACUCAGUGGUACCUUUCCUUAUGUAUUACUUUACGUAUUCAUAAUGUAAUCGAUGAGCCAUGUUUGGUGUCUGAAAUCAUCUUCUUUAGUUUUAAAUCAUCACAAAUUUGCCUCAAAUUGCGUGGAGUUAUCAAGCAAUCUCAAGUAAGUAGUUUCUGACCACUACAAACAUUCAAAAUGCAUUGUUAUGUAAGAUGAGUGGUUUGUAGGCUUUUUAAGGCAGUUAACAAUACGAAAGCUCUUUGGCUGCCAGAAGAGGACGGGU